AAAAGUUUGUGAUUUCCACGAAGUUGCCAUCAUUACUUGUGAAAAAAGGUACUCCUCCCACAAGGAUAGAAUAUGGGCGACCAUCCUGAGAAGAGUCUGGGGAAUGCCAUUUCAAGCUUGAAUAUCAGAUUCAAACCCUUAAACAAUCCAAUGACAAAUGGACAGAUGCUUUCGUCAGGACUGCUCAACUCACAAGAAGCUUUUAAUGGGGGCCGGGGGGGGGCGCAUUGAUGGUAUUAUCAGACCAAAAGUGUUUCACUCAAGAGAAAGCUUUUAAUGUCGCUCGAUUUCACAUCCCUGUGCAAUAUAGGAGAGGAGCAACAUGAUGCAUAUAACUAAGCCCACGAGGCUUGCGGUCCUGGGCCAACGUGCAGACUGUCGAAAGCUGCUGUUGGGCAUGAACUUGUUUACAAACAGCUUGGAAUGCAACCGAGAAGCUUCAAGAUAUUCUACAUUAGAGAAGUUUUGUUAUUUGAUGUCAAAGAAAAAGGGCACUAUAUUGUGCGAAUUACCAAGGAAAGAGCAUAGAGGACUCCAGGUUUGUUAAACUGCUAUUUGUAGUGGUGGGAGGCAAAAGCAACUAGCUGAAAUGAAUGAAAAAAAAGCGAGAGCUGGUCAAAGCAUGAUUGCUCCCGUAUGUUUUCUUUGGUCUUUUUGGCGUAGACAUGGAUCGCUCUAAACACUCUCGUCAAGGAGAGAUUAUCCGUACGUCAACAGAAUUUCUUGAAGUUGCCAUCAAUUUUGUGGUUUAUGUUUGGGGUAUCUAUCCUACAGCUAUUUGUUGAAUAAUUGUAUGUACAGUAUGAACUGCAUUUUCUCCGUAUAUGUGAUUGAUUGGUUGGGAAGGGGAAUAAAUAUCGAUGAUGAUGAUGCGGCUUUUGAGAGAAGAAAGUAUAUGAAUAAUCCAGUGCAAUGCGGUCGCCCCCCUAUGGUCAGAAGUUACAUCCAUUCUGUAGUUGAAACUCUCCAAACUUAUAUUGAUAAGUAUCAGUUCACACCUCAGCAUCUUGUCAGGCUUCUACAAGUUAUUGUUGAUGGGAAUUGUGAUUUGACAGUACCCCAGGUUGCAAGCAUCCACUUCAAGAACCCUAUAGGCAAAAACUGGGCACCUCAUGAACCUAGAGAAUAGCAGAAGAUAUCACCAGCCGAUAAGGCAAUAUUUAGAGAAAAUCUUCUUCAAUUCAUAGCCUGUGUUCCUCCUUUGCUGAGGGCACAGUUUGCAGAAAUCCAUAAAAGUAUUAUAAAUGCAUAUUAUCUAGAGCAAUGGCCUAGCCUUCUUCCUUGGGUCAAACAUAAUUUGUUCAAGUCUGAGGAUGAGCGAACUCCUACAUAUCUUAUCAUUGAUGAGGCAUUUCCUCCUCUACUUAAUAGUUUCAAUCGCCUUGUUCAAGUUUCAAAUCCUACUUUGGAUAUAGCAGAGCUUAUCAAGCUUGUUUAUAAAAUAUUUUGGUCAUCUAUAUACAUAUGCAUGCUUUUGCAUUCAAAAUGUACAUUAAAUUACUUAACUUAUUUUUGAAUGUGCACCUUAUUGCUUUCUGCAAUUUUAGAUUUGAAUUUAUGUAGUGAUGUGGUCAUGCAGUUAGAGGUGGCCAAGCAACUCUUUUAUCCCAACAUCUUUAAUGCUUGGAUGGUCCUAUUUUUAGCUAUGUUGGAAAGGCCAGUUCCUUCACAAGGGCAACCAACUGAUCCAGGACAACACAAAUCUUGGGAAUGGUGGAAAGUAAAGAAGUGGACAAUGCAUAUUAUGAAUCGACUAUACACACGUUUCAGCAUUUCAUUAUGUAUUUUUUGGCUUUGGCUCACCAGAAUCUGUGGAGUUGGAUUUUGCUUGAAGACUUUAUUAUUGGUUUUACAUGUUUGGUCUUGUUAUUCUAGUUUUGAUCCUUUUUUGGGCCGUUCGGAUCCUCUUGGAUUGUAUAAAUCAUUGUAAUUGGGCAUUAGAAUGUAUCGAAGGUGGUAGACAAAACAUAGAAGCUAAAUCUUAAGUUUUGAGGUCCCGGUUGUGACUUAUUUUGUAUUGAGCAUGUUUUGAGCAGGCCUGUAGACCGGUUAUUGUAACCCGAAUGUUUCCGGUUGAUUGUAAUUAGUUUUCAUAAUUCAUUUUGUUAUGCAUUGCCUCCAUCAUAUCCUUGUGUUUCCGUUGUUGUUUACUUUUGUUGACCGGUCCGGAUUGAUCUCUUUGAGGUCCCUCAUAACCGGUGACUGCAUCACUAUAUAAAACUGCAGAUUUUCUCCCAGAAUGCAUGAUUUGUCAAGUUCGCUUGCAACACAUUUAUCAAAUUUGUAAUUUCUACUGCAUUGUUUUCAAAAAUAAUUAUAUUUGCAACCACUGAAAGGAAUUACUAUGCAACAAUAUGUAAUUGUAAACAUACCAGAAUCAAUAGCCUGAACCAGAUCUUCAUAUAAGGGAUAUUAAUCAUUGGAUUCACAUGUUCUAAUAUAUAGACCAAAAGAAACUAUGAACAUAGCGUUCAAACACAGGAAACUAUGCACGACAGACCAUAUGUUAGACAACAUAGCAAGAUGGUUUGAAGGGGACAACUGAAGCUGGAACUGAAUGCAUUAAGCAUUGCAUUAGUCUUGAAUAAGGUGUGGAAUCAGCCCACAAGAUUACAACAGAAAUUAGUGAAUUUGUAGAAAUUGCAAGACUUUAUUUUUGUAAGUAAUUAUCUAUACAACAAUUGUAUUUUUUUUAGAGUGAAUAAAAAUGGGAAAUAUUUUAUAAGUCCCAUGAUGUAUUUUUUGUAUUUUAUACAUCAAUUGAAAAGAAACAGAUGAAAGACGCAAUGUAUGUAGGUGCUGUCAAUUUCAAAAUCUGUCAAACGUAUGGAGAAUUUGAUCACAUUAAAA